UUUAACUUUGGAGUCAGCGAAACAACUAAUGGCGGACGGUAAUAAAGAAGAACUACAGAAAUGUUUUGGGGCUCGAAUGGAGUUUGGGACAGCCGGCCUUCGAGCUGCUAUGGGAACGGGAAUUUCUCAUAUGAAUGACUUGACCAUCAUCCAGACAACACAGAAAUUUAUUGAAUGCCUACCAAGUGCCAGGCUUUGAAGAUACAACAAUGACUAAAACAGACAGAUUCCCUCAUGGAACUUUCAUUCCAGUGCAAAUCCACCAGCUAAGCUGACGACUUUUAUGGUCUUGAACUUCUGCAAUGGUGGUAGCAAUGCACACAUGGAGAAGUUUCUCUAUCGGCCGGAAUAACCAGAAGCUGAUUCUCUUUCAUGUUAAUUGAUAGUGUAGGCGGAAAUUAUUGCUGAGUUCCUUUGCCUUCGUUUGUAAAUUUUACUGUCAGAGUCUACACCCAACUUUUAGGAAUAGAGAUGAAACCUUCUGUCAUGA